GACGGAGGGGGCAAGCGUUGUUCGGAAUCACUGGGCGUAAAGGGCGCGUAGGCGGCGCGGUAAGCGUGCGGUGAAAGCCCGGGGCUCAACCCCGGGUCGGCCGUGCGGACUGCCGGGCUGGAGCACUGUAGAGGCAGGUGGAAUUCCGGGUGUAGCGGUGGAAUGCGUAGAGAUCCGGAAGAACACCGGUGGCGAAGGCGGCCUGCUGGGCAGUGGCUGACGCUGAGGCGCGACAGCGUGGGGGGAGCAAACAGG
rnacentral:rRNA from 1 species